AGCUGGCUGGUGCCAUGAGGUGACUUCUGCCCAGUGCUCUGAUUGUUACUGCCAAGAGAUUGAGCCAAGCGCGGGUAAACGGCGGGAGUAACUAUGACUCUCUUAAGGUAGCCAAAUGCCUCGUCAACCAAUUAUUGACGCGCAUGAAUGGAUCAACGAGAUUCCUGCUGUCCCUAGGUGCUGUCUGGUGAACCAACAGCCAAGGGAACGGGCUUGGAUGUGUCAGCGGGGAAAGAAGACCCUGUUGAGUUUGACUCUAGUUUGAUGCUGUGCAACGACAUGGAGGGUGUAGCACAGGUGGGAGGCAAGUGCCAAUCCUGCUCACCCCCAUUGUCCAUCCGAUUGGACUCUCCGAGAAUGUGACUCCGGUGCGAACCAGCAGUGAAAUACCACUACCUUCACCGUCGUUUUACUCACCGAGUGGCUUGGGACCGGCAGCCUAUCAACAACAAUCGGGGCUCACUCCAUGUGCAGUGCCGUGGCUAUCAACACCGCUUCGUGCGCAAAGUGCAACACUCCGUGAACCACUGCAUGACCCUGGGGCCUGACCAACCCCAGCUCGACGCCUUGGGACAAUGAUCAGUUGGGGAGUUUGGCUGGGGCGGCACGCCUGUUACAUGACAACGCAGGCGUCCUGAAGCAUUGCUCAGUUGGAACAGAAAUCUUGCAUGGAGGAGCAGGCCAAAGGUGCUGCUGAUGCUGCCACUUCCAGUACAAGUGCAAAACAUGCAAGUGUGGCCUUGCGAUCCUUUGGUCAAGCACUGAGAUUCCGGAUACUGAAGCCAGAGGUGUCAGAAAAAUUACCACAGGGAUAACUGGCUUGUGGCUGCCAAGCGUUCAAAGCGACGUCGCUUUUUGAUCCUUCGAUGUCGGCUCUUCCUAGCUUCCCACCCGCAGCCGAGUGGAAGAGUUGGAUUGUUCACCCACCAACAGGGAACGUGAGCUGG
rnacentral:rRNA from 1 species